UGGGGAAUCUUGCGCAAUGGUCGGAAGACUGACGCAGCGACGCCGCGUGUGGGAGGACGCCUUUCGGGGUGUAAACCACUGUUGCCCGGGACGAACUGGCGGUUUCGACCGCCCUGACGGUACCGGGUGAGGAAGCACCGGCUAACUCCGUGCCAGCAGCCGCGGUAAUACGGAGGGUGCGAGCGUUGUCCGGAAUCAUUGGGCGUAAAGGGCGCGUAGGUGGCCCGGUCAGUCUUUGGUGAAAGCGCGGGGCUCAACCCUGCGUCGGCCAGGAUACUGCCGCGGCUGGAGCACUGUAGAGGCAGGCGGAAUUCCGGGUGUAGCGGUGGAAUGCGUAGAGAUCCGGAAGAACACCGGUGGCGAAGGCGGCCUGCUGGGCAGUUGCUGACACUGAGGCGCGACAGCGUGGGGAGCAAACAGGAUUAGAUACC
rnacentral:rRNA from 1 species